rnacentral:lncRNA from 1 species
GGUGGUCUCAAUAGGUGCCUGGUUUAGGGACACACAAUAUAACACUGGUGUGACUUGGUUCAUCGGGGUGGAAACUGAGGUAUCAACUCCCAAGUGACGCAUCACUUGGGUAGCUGGUUUGGUGGCUAGGUGGUCACGCUCACAAAUUUAAUUCUAAUGCAAUGCGGUCUCGCCAAUACUAGUUAUGUAAUUAUACUUUAAA